UGGCACUAGAAUCUUCUUCAAUUUGGCGUCAAUUCGGAAGUGAUCAACCAAAAUGUGGCUGAAAGAUGCAGGCAAGCCGAGGUUGUGGAGGGUGUUUCUCUUAACGGCCUUCAUGGACGUUGAAGUCAGACUAAAAAGAGGGAGUACUAUUAUCUUCAUCAGAUCUUCUUUCCGAGCGGGUGUGAGAAAGCCAAAAGCUAGUUGCAGACAUGUUCGAAAGUACUACUGUCUUCAUCAGAUCUUCCUUCGAAGCGGAUGGGAGAAAGCAAAAAGCUAGCUGCAAAUAUGUUUAAAAUGGCUUUUUUUGGCUUUAUGUUGUUUGUUCAUGGAAAAGGAUGAAGCACGGGACUUCAGGGCAAGGAAAGAAUGUUUCAUCUCCUAGUAUACAUAAAAGAGAAUGGAAGCAGUGUUGCUUCUUCUUCUUUUUUGCGAAUAAUGGAAGCAGUGUUGCUCCAAAAGUAUCAGACCAACAUGAUGAUGGGGAGGGUGACUGGUUGAAGAAACUCACUGAUUUUGCUGGGUAUAAAUAUAUACUUUCUCUGUAAACUAAUAUAAAAUGUUUUAUUUACAUCACUAAAGGGAGUAGUACUAAACUUGAUUUAUUUAUUUAUUGGAAAAAUGAGGAUUA